rnacentral:lncRNA from 1 species
GGGCUGCAGAAAGAGAGCUGAGAUUAUGGAAAGGGAAAAAUACAUCGAUAUUUUUCCAAAACUUUAUCCAUUCCUUACACCCACCUUUAAAUUCAUUCAUUAGUUACUACAGUGGGUUGAAUGGUGGCCCCUCAAAAGAUAUGUCGGCCUAAUCCCUGGUACCUUGGAAAAUGCCCUGAUUUGGAAAAGGGUCACUGCCGAUGUAAUUAACUGAAGGAUCUCGAGAUGAGAUCAUCUCAGAUUGUGCAGGGGUCCCAAGGACAAUGACAAGUGUCCUAAUAUGAGACACACAGAGGGAAAAGAGCAGAAGGUCAUGCUGGAGGGAGACAACACUGGAAUAAUGGAGUUACAAGCGAAGGAAUGCCAAUGAUUUCCUUGGAAUCACCAGGAGCUGGAAGAGGCAUUCCACUGCAGUGGACACCUCUUGUCUUGUUUCUCCAACGUUGUCAAGGUAGCAGAAUUAAGUCUGAAGCUCCUGGUGGGGAGAGCUUGUCUGUCAAGAAGAGCAGAGCUGAGUAUUACAGAGGAAUGAGAACACAUAUGAUGUCAUCUGAGUACCUGGAUCUAGCCAUGACUGAAGACGGAUCACCCUGGACUUUUCUAUUAUAUGAACAACUAAAACCCCUGUUUUGCUUAAGCCUGUGUCAGUUGGGUUGUUUUAUCUUACAACACAUGUGCAUGCACAC